GGGCGUGUAGCUCAGUUGGUAGAGCGUGUCAUUAGCAUUGACAAGGUCUUUGGUUCGAUUCCUAACUCGUCCA